AGAAGGUGGACGCAGAUCCCUCAACCUUGGAGAAGGUGUUGGAAGACUUGAAAUCUGACGAAUCAAACCGUAACAAAAUCAAUUUCAUCCUCUUCCUCGCCAACAAUGAUCCCACCACCAACCGCAGCUGGUGUCCUGGUCCGUUUCUGUUUUUCAUUUUUUUUUUCAUUUUUUUUUUCGAUUUCAUCUCUUUUUUAUUUAUUUUUUGAUUAUAAUAAUCAGAUUGCGUUAGAGCUGAGCCUGUGAUAUACAAGACUCUAGAGGAAUCAGCGGAGGAAGUGAAUGUUAUCCGGGCUUACGCCGGAGAUAGGCCGACGUGGAGGAAUCCGAUGCAUCCGUGGAGAGUCGAUCCUCGAUUCAAGGUCACUGGAGUGCCAACACUUGUUCG
rnacentral:lncRNA from 1 species